rnacentral:rRNA from 1 species
UACGUAGGGGGCAAGCGUUGUCCGGAUUUAUUGGGCGUAAAGCGUGCGUAGGCGGCUGCGCAAGUCGGUUGUGAAACCCCGGGGCUCAACCCCGGAACUGCAUCCGAUACUGCGUGGCUAGAGGUAGGUAGGGGAGAUCGGAAUUCCUGGUGUAGCGGUGAAAUGCGCAGAUAUCAGAAGGAACACCGGUGGCGAAGGCGGAUCUCUGGGCCUUACCUGACGCUCAGGCACGAAAGCUAGGGGAGCGAACAGG